rnacentral:lncRNA from 1 species
UGGACUGCGGCUUCCCCGCACUCUGCUUCCUGACAGGCUCACUCCGGACGGUGUGGCGCAGUCCCGGGGAGCAGAUCCUCACCCUCCGGUCCCCUCCGUCCUGGGAGUGAUCCCCACUGCCCACUGCCACCUUUCUCUGCCUGACUAGAAGAUACCAAUGGGAAGCACGCUUCACCACACAAAAGGGGGCUGCAGGCUGGGCCAGCCUGGAGGGUUUGCUGUUCUUCCGCACGAGGCCAGAGGCCAGUCCCGGCCAGCCCUGCCGGCACGCACCUCCUCCCGCUGAUUCUGCUCAGAGGCACUGGCUGUCUCCAAUCCUGUCACCACAGCCACUUGCCUGCAAGCUGGUGGUUCCACUUUCCUUGCUUCCAGCCCCGGGACAGGGAAACAAG